rnacentral:siRNA from 1 species
UCAACUUCCGAUGUGGGACA